AUGCUUGUUUAUGUGACUCCUGUAGGGCUUUUUUUUUUUUUUUUUCCCAGAGGUGGGUGGUGGUGGUGGUGGUGUCCUUCCCUUCCUGGGUGGGAGUGGAUGUCUGUCUCCCGUCAGGACAGUCGUCCCUCUGUUCCUCUUCAUGCUGAAUGCUGUUCCCGGGUGGUCUCACUGGGGAGAGAGGAUGGAUGGGUGCUGGUAUUCGGGUGGGACAUAGGUUCACCAGCUGGGCCUCCAGAAAGGAGUCCCCAGCCCAAGCAGCUUCUGUGGUUGGUACCCGGUUACCUGGUCCUCCGACUUGGUGCCGGACAGGUGUCUACACAGGAUGGCCCUUGUUUGGCCUCCCAAGGCCCGGCGGAGGUGUCUCCCGGAGCCUUGAGUGAAAUUGCAGUUUCUGGCCGCACCUGGCCCUGCCCGCCUGGGGCAGGAACGGUCCUUGAGCUCUGGCAGGGCAGAGAUGAAAGAAGCCAGAGAGGAGAGAGGCGCCCAGGCUCCUGGUGCUGCUUUCCCGUCGCCUUUGUCUCCUGGGGGGUUUGGUCUCCUCCAGUUCUCUCCACGCCUCUGUUUUCCCGUCUGUCCCUGGGUCUCCCCUGCCCUUUCUUUCCCUGUUACACUCUCUCCUUUUGUUUUUCUUUCGGCCUCUCUGCUGGGGCUUUCCAGAAUCCAGCAUCCCGGCUCCACACUGCGGUUCAUGUUUCUCAUUGUGCACCAGACAGAUUCCGGGGUGUGAGCGGAGACCUGCACAUCCCGAUUACACAAUCCUCACCCACGAACUCCCCGUCGGAUGGCCUUCUGCUGCGCCGAACCCCCUCUCCCCAACUUCCCAGGACGCUCACAGAGCCAGGCCCGCUGUGUCUGUCCAGCCCCCGGGCUGCUGGAGGCCUGUGUACCUGGCUCCAUAUGACCUUCGUUCUCGUCUCGUGGAUUUGCUUAAAUGCCCCUGCACAGCCAGGUCCCAGCGCCCCCAUGGCAGCCCAGGAGGUCUCAGGAGCGGGGAGGGGCAUCGGGGAGCUGCUCUGGGUGUCCCCAUCCCCUCCCCAUCGGGAUGAAACCCUAGCUACAGGAGAUGAGAGCUCUGACCCUCCACCUCCGGGGUGGAAAUUUACCAAUCCUACCCGCCCCUCGGCCCCCUGA
rnacentral:lncRNA from 1 species